GAUGAACGCUGGCGGCGUGCUUAACACAUGCAAGUCGAACGGUGAAGGCGGAGCUUGCUCUGCUGGAUCAUUGGCGAACGCGUGAGUAACACGUGAGCAAUCUGCCCCUGACUCUCGGAUAAGCGCUGGAAACGGCGUCUAAUACUGGAUACGAUAUGCGCAGGCAUCUUCAGCAGCUGGAAAGAAUUUCUGUCAGGGAUGAGCUCGCGGCCUAUCAGCUUGUUGGUGAGGUAAUGGCUCACCAAGGCGUCGACGGGUAGGCGGCCUGAGAGCGUGAACGGGGACAAGGGGACUGAGAGAGGGAGCAGUCUGCUACAGGAGGCAGCAGGGGGGAGUAUUGCACAAUGGGCGAGAGUGUGAUGCAGAAGCCCCCGGUGAGGAAAGACCGCCUUCUGGGUAUGAACAUCUGUUGGAAGAGAAGAAGCGGUAGUGACGGUACCUAAAGAAAAAGCGCCGGCUAACUACGUG
rnacentral:rRNA from 1 species